GCAGAUGGCUGCCCGGAGGCCAGGUUUUCCUCCGGCCGAACCGUGGCCGGUGGCGCCGCGCGGGACCGAGAGGCGCCGGCCUGUGAUUGGCCGAGGCCCCUGUGAAUGCAGGACAUUGUCUGGUCGCGGUCGUCUCUGUCCCUGCCCGCCGCCCUUCCACAGAUCAAAAUGGGUGCGGAGCGAGGGCCCGGGCCAGCCCGGUCGCCGCCCGCUCCGGCGUCCCCUCGAUGGUGGGGACACCGUAGUGGGAAAACGUAACUUUUAGGAGAUCCUGGAAUCUGAUAAUGGCAUUAAGGUGCUAUUUCAAAAUACAAAAUCAUUCCCAAGGAAAUAAAACCAUUGUGUUUGACAUAAGGGCUUCCUUUAAGUUUAAAAAUAUCAAGAUAAUUGAGAAGGGCCAACGGUUAUAAAAACGGCUUAGUUUUGUCCAAGAUUCCUUUAGGAUCUGAGAAAAAUUCAUCUGAAUGUUCUUUAAGAAUUUUAAGCAAAAUUGAUGUGGAUAUCUACAUUUUGUAUUUUGAAAUAGCACCUUUAUGCCAUUAGCGGGGACAUAUAUGAAAUAACCUUGUUUUAGACUACUGCCUUAGUUUCCGCACGUGUGAAAAAGAUGGCCCUGCCCUGGUAGCUUUCCAAGUUUGCUUCCUUUGUUAAAAAAAACUCAUUCUGAGUCUAGACUUAAACUCCCGAUCCAUCCUAUGUAUUGGAUCAUAUCUCAAGGCCUUGAAAUAGAUGAGACCUUUUAAAGAGCUCUUGAGGACAUUGUAGUUCUCCUCAGAUGGUCUUUGAAAAUGUGUGGCAGUUAUUCAAGCGGAGUUGUAAUCUUUUACUGUGUAAUUUUGGAGUAAAGGAAAAUGAGAGCAGGAGAAAAAUGUAUGGAGAUCAAUCAGUUAUUUAGACAAUGUUGAAGAGCAGCGUUUUCUUUCAUCUUAAAGAAGUUUUCCAGGUAAUGGAAUAUUAUAAUAAAGAAUAACUAUCUUUCCUAUUUUGUUCCCAGUAUCAAAGGAGUAGGAAAAUGGCAAAAGAGAAGACACAUGAAAUAAGAGACAAAUGGAAAAUGUUGAGAGAAUUUUGAGUAAAAUUAAGGUGGUAUUUGCUUUUUAAAAAACGACGUGAAAAAUUAUUGUAGAGUUAGAAGCAGACGUGUUGAUACAGAUAUUUUGUAGCUUCAGUUUCAUGCCCUUUUCAACAUUAAAAAAUAUAUAUCAGUAAUUUCAGUUAAUUGAGCAAUCAACAAGAAUUAGAGACUUGGAAAUGACAAACAAAUGAAGGAAGGAAAGCAUCCAGAAAAGAAGAUAAGUUUAAUGGACAUGAUUCAUUGCAAGAGACAUGACCUCAUUCCUUAUUAGAGGAAUUUCCACUAAACCAGAUUUGAUGUUAAAUAAGUUUAUUUUACAGACUUCCCUCAGAAUUAUACUAAUUUGCAAUGUCCUUUGUGUGUGUGUGUGUGGGGGGGGGGUAUUAUAAAGCGAAGAAAUACAAGGAAAAUUUUAAGACAUUGUUGCAGCUUCUUUAGAUGAUAGUUGUUCCAGGCUCCGCACCCUCCCCCAUCAUAAUAAAGGACUAAAAAAGCAGAAAUCAUCACCAUAAAGAUUCUAGCUUUUCCUGGAAGUGAAACAUGAAUAGUUAUGUGGAUGUCUGUGAGUGAAGCAAAUUUACUUUUGAUUAUUUAAACUUCUAGCAUUUAAAUUGAUAUUUAUAAUUAAACCGAUUUUACUUAAAGGCGAGUGAAUUAAAGAUUAAAAUUUAGAGAUUAAACUGAAAUUAAGAUGUUUGUACUGAACAGAAGCAGCAGGUAAUAUGAUAUAGUCUAUAAGGUGUGAGGUGUCUUGCCAAAUAAGUUUUAGACUUUUCCCGCAAGUCUUUUCCUUAGGAUUUUUGCUUUGGUAUUUGAUAUAUACCUAUAGAAUUAUCUAUAUAAUGUGAUAAUAUUGAUGGAAUACUUGGUACAUGCCAAACACCAUUCUAAGUGUCUUCUUUGAUCCUCGCAAAAACCCUAGGGAGCAAAUACAAUCAUUAUCUCCAUUUUAGAGACGUGGAAACUGAAGCUCUAGAGGUUGGAAACCUUGCCCAAAGUCAGAUAGUUGGUGAGUGCAGAGCUGGGAAUCCAGCCUAAAAUCCUGUCUGACUCUGCUCAGAGCCAUGUGGCUGUGUGUCCUCAACCACUCACUAAACAGACUUACUUAUUUCUAUGGAUAUGAUUAUUAAUCCACUUUUGAUCAGUUCUUUUUGACAGUUAUACAUUUAAAUAUUUUUGCAUUAGCCCUUCUGUUCAUUUGUAUUUUAGGUGACCAUGUGGAUACAAGAUUGCCAUAUGUAUUUAUUUUGCUACAGAAAGUCAAGCAGCCCUAUCAUUGUUUGAGAAACACCCCUCAAAUUUGCAUCUUUUUGUUUUUAGACAGACAUAUACAUGGACAGUAGCACAGGACUAAGUCCCCUCACCCUCUGCUUCUCUUUUUCUCUCUUUCAGAUGUGUUGCUUCAUAGGGCCCAGUUAAUACCUGCUGGCCGUGUUUACUGCAUAUAAUUGGUGUCGGUCUCAAAAAAGGUGCUGGUGUACUGUCAUUCCGUUAUCGGAGGAAUGUUCAUGUUACCCAGUCCUUCAGAAGAUGGAGAAGGGAGGAGAAACAAAGAAUGCAACACAGGAAUUUGGGGGGGUCGAUAGCAUAAAGCCGAGAUGAAAGGCUUAUGCCUUUAAGACUUUUUUUUCCCCUUUCUUCACUUUGUACCUUUGGCUGAGAUAUGGCACAUCCUUAACGACAACCAAAGGAUCAGCGUUAGGAUUUGAUGUCCCGGAGGCCCAGAGGGACAAAAGGGUUGUAUUCAGCUGUCCUCCCGCUCCCACCUGCUCUGCCGCCAGUACUUAGCGCGCUUUGUCCCUGGCCAACAAACGGUGCGCCAUCUCCGUGAAAUACUGGCAGGCGAUCCCUCCGUCUGUGUUUUCGGCAGUUAGAGAAGGGGCAGCACAAGCUUUUCCUCUGUGCCUCCCUGGUGUUUCUCGAGCUCUCGCAGAGACGUUUUCUGUAAUUGGUUUUCCACAUUUGCCAAGAGUCUGUUUCCUCUUAACAGUCAACAUGUUUAACAGAAGUCUUGUAAUAGUUCCAAAAAUAAUAA